AGAAUCAACGCUGGCGGCGUGCCUAACACAUGCAAGUCGAACGCGGUUACGUUUGUUUCGCAAGAAACAGGCGUAACUGAGUGGCGAACGGGUGAGUAACACGUGGGUGAUCUACCUUCAAGUGGGGGAUAACGUUCCGAAAGGAACGCUAAUACCGCAUGACGUUCUGGGUUUGAAGACCUGGAAACCAAAGCCGGGGACCGCAAGGCCUGGCGCUUGGGAGAGGAGCCCGCGUCCGAUUAGCUAGUUGGCGGGUAACGCCCACCAAGGCGACGAUC
rnacentral:rRNA from 1 species